CUCUCCUCAGGGAGAGGAGUUGAGACCGAAAGCGGAAGUCACGGGGAGCUGGCGGCUGGGUUGGGCGGCGGAUCUGCAGAGUUUCGAGGUUCUGUCAAGUUCGCUGCCCGCCGCCCAACUUGAAGCCUCAUUUACCUUUCGGCUACCUGAUUUGGAUAAAUGGAGAAAAACCGGGGCCUCUAACUCAUAAUGCCCUCCCGCGUUCAAGAUGCCAGUUUUGGGGCGGAGAUUUCUAAAUUAAAGCCUACAUCCCGCGCGGGAAUAUCUGCUGGUAAUUUCUCGCCUGCCAGAAAACUCCUUUGAUCUCUGGCUGUGGAGACUCGGGACCCCUACCCAAGUAUGGGACACUGCCUCCGUUGGGGUUAUCUCAGAUCAAUGGAAUGGGAACAAGCUAUCCGGCCUGGGCGCCGUUCACGUCUCACAUCUGAGAUCGUAACACCGACUGUGCUUAGGACCUCAGCAAUAACUUUUUGCCGUCUCUGGCCCACUGACUCCUCUCAAAAUGUCCCCUGGUCCUUUUGCUAUUCACGUAUUUCUGUGGGCUUGAGAUUUGCUUAACUCCUAUAUUGGCAAAAGGCCACUUGAAAUCGCUAGCAGAUACUCGAUAACCUGAAAGGUGAGGAAGUAGGCUCAGAGAAAUUAAGCAGCUUUCCCAACUUCACACAGUGAGAAUAUUAACAAUUUAACAGGGAACAAAGAGAAGAAGCAGAACGUUGGGAUUCCAGCAUCGACCAGGGAUGUCCCUGAGAUCCCACAACAUAGACUGCCUGUCAGCCGCCUACUCCCUAGCCAGGCCUCCCCCGCCAAGCUGCUGGCAUUGUGUCCUCUUGGCAUCCACCUCCAUCCGCAUGGGCACCCAACCCC
rnacentral:lncRNA from 1 species